rnacentral:rRNA from 1 species
UACGGAGGGUGCGAGCGUUGUCCGGAAUCAUUGGGCGUAAAGCGCGCGUAGGUGGCUUCGUAAGUCCGUUGUGAAAGUCAAAGGCUCAACCUUUGAAAGCCGAUGGAUACUGCGGAGCUAGAGUACGGAAGAGGCGAGUGGAAUUCCUGGUGUAGCGGUGGAAUGCGCAGAUAUCAGGAGGAACACCAAUAGCGAAGGCAGCUCGCUGGGCCACUACUGACGCUGAGAAGCGAAAGCAUGGGGAGCGAACAGG